rnacentral:rRNA from 1 species
CCUACGGGAGGCAGCAGUGGGGAAUAUUGCACAAUGGGGGAAACCCUGAUGCAGCCAUGCCGCGUGUGUGAAGAAGGCCUUCGGGUUGUAAAGCACUUUCAGUUGUGAGGAAAGUUUAGUAGUUAAUACCUGCUAGAUGUGACGUUAGCAACAGAAGAAGCACCGGCUAACUCCGUGCCAGCAGCCGCGGUAAUACGGAGGGUGCGAGCGUUAAUCGGAAUUACUGGGCGUAAAGCGCACGCAGGCGGUCUGUUAAGCUGGAUGUGAAAGCCCCGCGCUCAACGUGGGAGGGUCAUUUAGAACUGGCAGACUAGAGUCUUGGAGAGGGGAGUGGAAUUCCAGGUGUAGCGGUGAAAUGCGUAGAGAUCUGGAGGAACAUCAAUGGCGAAGGCAACUCCCUGGCCAAAGACUGACGCUCAUGUGCGAAAGUGUGGGUAGCGAACAGGAUUAGAUACCCUGGUAGUCCACACCGUAAACGCUGUCUACUAGCUGUUUGUGAAUUUAAUUCGUGAGUAGCGAAGCUAACGCGAUAAGUAGACCGCCUGGGGAGUACGGCCGCAAGGUUAAAACUCAAAGGAAUUGACGGA